CUCGGUACGUACUGGCAUCGUCGGUUUCUCCCUUCUGACGAACCAUGAUGUCAUCUAUUUGGUGUCGUGGGGAAUCAGGACUGUUACUUUGAAAAAAUUAGAGUGUUUAAAGCAGGCUCACGCUUGAAUACAUUAGUAUGGAAUAAUGAAAUAGGACGUUUGAUUCUAUUUUGUUGGUUUCUAGGAUCGACGUAAUGAUUAAUAGGGAUAGUUGGGGGCAUUAGUAUUCAAUUGUCAGAGGUGAAAUCCUUGGAUUUAUUGAAGACUAACUACUGCGAAAGCAUUUGCCAAGGAUGUUUUCAUUAAUCAAGAACGAAAGUUAGGGGAUCGAAGACGAUCAGAUACCGUCGUAGUCUUAACCAUAAACUAUGCCGACUAGGGAUCGGAUGAUGUUAAUUUUUUAAUGACUCAUUCGGCGCCUUACG
rnacentral:rRNA from 1 species